rnacentral:rRNA from 1 species
UAACACGUAGGUAACCUGCCCAUGUGCCCGGGAUAACUUCUGGAAACGGAUGCUAAAACCGGAUAGGUAGCAGACAAGCAUUUGACUGCUAUUAAAAGUGGCUAAGGCCAUGAACAUGGAUGGACCUGCGGUGCAUUAGCUAGUUGGUGAGGUAACGGCCCACCAAGGCGACGAUGCAUAGCCGGCCUGAGAGGGCGGACGGCCACAUUGGGACUGAGACACGGCCCAAACUCCUACGGGAGGCAGCAUG